GGAUGUGAGGACGAUCUUGCUAUGACAUCUGUCACCCCAUUGAUCACCAGGGUUGAUUCGGCUGAUCUGGCUGGUUAAGUGGGUGUCCCCUUCCUCCCUUACCGCUCCAUGUGUGUCCCUCCCAAAGCUGCACGCUCAGUUGAAGAGGACGACCAUCUCCGAUAGAGGAGGACCGUUCUUCGGUCAAGGGUAUACGAGUAGCUGCGCUCCCCUGCUAGAACCUCCAAAUAAGCUCUCAAGAAUGGCCAAACAGGGACCCAAAAAGUUCACCACCCAUGUUCUCACAUGAAAAAGUUU
rnacentral:snRNA from 1 species